rnacentral:rRNA from 1 species
CAGCCGCCGCGGUAAUACGUAGGUGGCAAGCGUUGUCCGGAAUUAUUGGGCGUAAAGCACGCGCAGGCGGAUAGGUCAGUCUGUCUUAAAAGUUCGGGGCUUAACCCCGUGAUGGGAUGGAAACUGCCAAUCUAGAGUAUCGGAGAGGAAAGUGGAAUUCCUAGUGUAGCGGUGAAAUGCGUAGAUAUUAGGAAGAACACCAGUGGCGAAGGCGACUUUCUGGACGAAAACUGACGCUGAGGCGCGAAAGCCAGGGGAGCGAACGGGAUUAGAUACCCCAGUAGUCCCUGUCUCUUAUACA